rnacentral:rRNA from 1 species
UACGGAGGGUGCGAGCGUUGUCCGGAAUUAUUGGGCGUAAAGAGCUUGUAGGCGGUUUGUCGCGUCUGCCGUGAAAACUUGGGGGCUCAACCCCAAGCCUGCGGUCGAUACGGGCAGGCUCGAGUUCGGUAGGGGAGACUGGAAUUCCUGGUGUAGCGGUGAAAUGCGCAGAUAUCAGGAGGAACACCGAUGGCGAAGGCAGGUCUCUGGGCCGAUACUGACGCUGAGGAGCGAAAGCGUGGGGAGCGAACAGG